UGUACGCAUGGCCGAGUGGUCGAAGGCGGGUUGACCCAUGUUCCACUGGUGCUCAGCACCACUUGGGUUUGAACCCCAAUGCAACAA
rnacentral:tRNA from 1 species